rnacentral:rRNA from 1 species
AAGUCGUAACAAGGUUUCCGUAGGUGAACCUGCGGAAGGAUCAUUAAUGAAAUACCGAACGUUUGGGAAUCGUCCGGGUUGUUGCUGGCCUCUUCGUUGAGGUAUGUGCACGCCUUGACCCCUGGCGUUUCAGUCCUUUCUUCACACCUUGUGCACCAAAUGUAGCUGGGGAUGAUCACGAAGCCUUUUGGUUUCGAAUGCCUCGGCUAUGAAGUUUUUACAAACGCUUUGUUAAAGUCUAUUAGAACGUUUGUAACCGCGUCUGACGCGAAUUAAAUACAACUUUCAGCAACGGAUCUCUUGGCUCUCGCAUCGAUGAAGAACGCAGCGAAAUGCGAUAAGUAAUGUGAAUUGCAGAAUUCAGUGAAUCAUCGAAUCUUUGAACGCACCUUGCGCUCCUUGGUAUUCCGAGGAGCAUGCCUGUUUGAGUGUCAUGAAAUUCUCAACUGCCCUCUUUUCUUAAGAGGGUGAAGUUGGAUUUGGAGCGCUUUGCUGGCCUUUUGUUACCGGCUGCUCCUAAAAGCAUUCCAAGCCUUUUGUUAUCUCGGCGCAAAGUAUCUUUGACGUGAUAAUUAUCUACGUCGCAGAGAAAGCCUAGAGGGGGCUUGUUAAAGUAUUUCUUUGACCCUUUCGACCUCAAAUCAGGCAGGACUACCCGCUGAACUUAAGCAUAUCAAUAAGCGGAGGAAAAGAAACUAACGAGGAUUCCCCUAGUAACUGCGAGUGAAGCGGGACAAGCUCAAAUUUGAAAUCUGGCGUGCCUCUGGCCGUCCGAGUUGUAGUCUGGAGAAGCGUCUUCCGUGCUGGGCCGUGUACAAGUCCCUUGGAACAGGGCGUCAUAGAGGGUGAGAAUCCCGUCUUUGACACGGACUACCAGUGCUCUGUGAUGCGCUCUCAACGAGUCGAGUUGUUUGGGAAUGCAGCUCAAAAUGGGUGGUAAAUUCCAUCUAAAGCUAAAUACAGGCGAGAGACCGAUAGCGAACAAGUACCGUGAGGGAAAGAUGAAAAGCACUUUGGAAAGAGAGUUAAACAGUACGUGAAAUUGCUGAAAGGGAAACGCUUGAAGUCAGUCGCGUCUGCCAGGACUCAGCCUUGCUUUUUUGCUUGGUGCACUUUCUGGUGGACGGGUCAGCAUCGAUUUCGAUCGUCAGAAAAAGUCAAAGGGAACGUGGCACCUUUCGAGGUGUGUUAUAGCCCUUUGUUGUAUGUGACGGUUGGGAUCGAGGACUGCAGCACGCCCUUGUGGCUAUGAAUCUCAUAUACGUGCUUAGGAUGCUGGCUUAAUGGCUUUAAGCGACC